GCAUAUCAUAAGCGGAGGAAAAGAAACCAACAGGGAUUGCCCUAGUAACGGCGAGUGAAGCGGCAACAGCUCAAAUUUGAAAUCUGGCCCCCGGGUCCGAGUUGUAAUUUGUAGAGGAUGCUUUUGGUGCGGUACCUUCCGAGUUCUCUGGAACGAGACGCCAUAGAGGGUGAGAGCCCCGUCUGGUUGGACGCCAAACCUUUGUAAAGCUCCUUCGACGAGUCGAGUAGUUUGGGAAUGCUGCUCUAAAUGGGAGGUAUAUGUCUUCUAAAGCUAAAUAUUGGCCAGAGACCGAUAGCGCACAAGUAGAGUGAUCGAAAGAUGAAAAGCACUUUGAAAAGAGAGUUAAAAAGUACGUGAAAUUGUUGAAAGGGAAGCGCUCAUGACCAGACUUGGGCCCGGUUGAUCAUCCAGGGUUCUCCCUGGUGCACUCUUCCGGCCCAGGCCAGCAUCAGUUCGCUGUGGGGGAUAAAGGCUUCGGGAAUGUGGCUCCCUCGGGAGUGUUAUAGCCCGUCGUGUAAUACCCUGCGGCGGACUGAGGUUCGCGCAUUCGCAAGGAUGCUGGCGUAAUGGUCAUCAGCGACCCGUCUUGAAACACGGACCAAGGAGUCGUCUUCGUAUGCGAGUGUUCGGGUGUCAAACCCCUACGCGUAAUGAAAGUGAACGCAGGUGAGAGCUUCGGCGCAUCAUCGACCGAUCCUGAUGUUCUCGGAUGGAUUUGAGUAAGAGCAUACGGGGCCGGACCCGAAAGAAGGUGAACUAUGCCUGUAUAGGGUGAAGCCAGAGGAAAACUCUGGUGGAGGCUCGCAGCGGUUCUGACGUGCAAAUCGAUCGUCAAAUAUGGGCAUGGGGGCGAAAGACUAAUCGAAACCUUUCUAGUAGCUGGGUUUCCCGCCGAA
rnacentral:rRNA from 1 species